UGAUCCUGGCUCAGAUUGAACGCUGGCGGCAGGCCUAACACAUGCAAGUCGAACGGUAACAGGAUAGCUUGCUAUCGUUGACGAGUGGCGGACGGGUGAGUAAUACUUAGGGAUCUGCCUCUGUGUGGGGGAUAACUAUUGGAAACGAUAGCUAAUACCGCAUAAUGUCUACGGACCAAAGGGGGCUUCGGCUCUCGCCCUGGGAUGAACCUAAGCGAGAUUAGCUUGUUGGUGAGGUAAGGGCUCACCAAGGCGACGAUCUCUAGCUGUUCUGAGAGGAAGAUCAGCCACACUGGGACUGAGACACGGCCCAGACUCCUACGGGAGGCAGCAGUGGGGAAUAUUGCACAAUGGGGGGAACCCUGAUGCAGCCAUGCCGCGUGUGUGAAGAAGGCCUUAGGGUUGUAAAGCACUUUCAGUUGUGAGGAAAGGUUUGAGGUUAAUAAUUUCAAGCUGUGACGUUAGCAACAGAAGAAGCACCGGCUAACUCCGUGCCAGCAGCCGCGGUAAUACGGAGGGUGCGAGCGUUAAUCGGAAUUACUGGGCGUAAAGCGCACGCAGGCGGUUACAUCAGCCAGAUGUGAAAGCCCCGGGCUUAACCUGGGACGGUCAUUUGGAACUGUGUAACUAGAGUCUUGGAGAGGGGAGUGGAAUUCCAGGUGUAGCGGUGAAAUGCGUAGAUAUCUGGAGGAACAUCAGUGGCGAAGGCGACUCCCUGGCCAAAGACUGACGCUCAUGUGCGAAAGUGUGGGUAGCGAACAGGAUUAGAUACCCUGGUAGU
rnacentral:rRNA from 1 species